CCUGUCUCUACUAAAAAUACAAAACAAUUAGCCGGGCGUGGUGGUGGGCGCCUGUUAUCCCAGCUACUUGGGAGGCUGAGGCAGGAGAAUCACUUGAACCCAGGAGGUGGAGGUUGCAGUGAGCCGAGAUCACACCAUUGCACCCCAGCCUGGGCAACAAGAGUGAAACUCCAUCUCAAAAAACAAAAAACAAACAAAAAAGAAGCUUCUGGAAAUAAGCCCGUGGGUCCUCAGGGCAGGUGCUGAGCACAUGUGUGCUGGACAUGCUGCAGAUCAGGCAGGGGAACCAGGGGAAAGACUCUUCCAAGCCCCACCACUGCCACCUUCCACAGUGCCCUGCUUUUGCCCUCGAAGCUCGCUGAAGGGGACCCAUCUCUGCAAGCCCACAGCCCUACCUGCAGCAUCCACAGCCUCAGAGAGCAGCGGGGCCCCUUACCCCUGAACCCCCUCCAAGAGCAUCAGGACAACAAGCCUUGAGCUGUGGAGACAAGAGAAUCAGUAUCCCUGGCCCAGGGAGGAUUCCAGGAGAGGACACGGGCAGGAGCCCUGGCCCAGAGCCAGAACCAAGAGUCCAGCCAGCGAAACUGGAACUAGGGUCCCCGGCACCCAGGACUCUGCGAGCAUCCCCCAACAGCAAGCCCUUCUGCAAGGGAGACGGGUUGGCCCACCCCAGGCUGUCCAGCUCCAGCAGCCUUGCAGGCAGCCUCUCCAGAAAAAGAGCCUGGUCCUCCCCACCCUGCUCCCCACAGGCUGUCCCUGACCCUGAGGCCCAGAGGCACAAGAGGACUUCUGUAGAGCCCAGGGGAGCAGGCUGUUCUCUUGGGGCCCCAGCGGGCUCAAGGUGUGGCCAGGCUGUCCCCAACUCAGGAUAGAUCAUAGGCUGUCCUGCGUACCUCCUCUGGAACUCCCUGCCCAAGCUCUGCCAUGGACCUGGACGUCAGGGGCCUGUGGUUUAACUUUGAAUAGGGAUUCUGGACCUUACACGUGUGCCCUGGACAGCCCCAGAACCAUGGGGUGGGGACCGACCCAGCAAGCCCACCGGGGCCCUGAAACCCGGCCCUGCCGGACACUGUGAUAAUAACCAAGAGGCAAGUCCAGAGACAUCCACUUUGCCCAAUGGCACCUGCAUCCAACUUCUCAGCAGGCAGUGACUGGCAUGGUGUGGGGGCAGCCGGGGCAGCACCUGGCCAGCACCUGGCCAGCUGCCCUGUAGCCCCCGAUGGCUCCAGUGCCUCUGGACCUCAUUUUCUACUUUCUACGGGGAAACCUACUCCCUCAGAGGCCACCAGAGGGAAGAGUGAGCAAGGCGUUCCUGCAGUCCCGACCAGCCAGCGGCAUGUCCUGUGGCCUCUGACUCAACCUAUGAGACAGAGCUCUGAUCCCAGGGCACACUUCCCAGGACACGGGGCCCAGCCUCAACCAGAGCCCUGUGAAGGGAGGGGCACCAGGAUGACCACAUGGGGGACCAUGGCGCUGCACACCUGGGCACUGUACUUCUCAUUGGAGAAUCCAGGCAAGAUCUUGAAGCAGGUGCAUGAGGUCCUGAGCCUGUGCAGCAAACAGCACUCAUCUGGGGUUGGCACGAAGGGGUCUACAGAGCCACGGCCACCGCAGCCUCUUCCCGGCCCCAUCUGUGCAGUGCAAGUGAUCCACGCCUGCUCCUAAACCCAGCCCAGCAAGCAGCAGCAGCCCGGGCCCCCAAGCCCGCCAGGCCAAUGUGCUGCCCAGAGGCUUCGAGGCCCUGCCCGCUGUACCUCCCACCACCUGGAAGCUGCCUCCUGACGCCUUCCAGCCACUGCUGCAGCCGCAACAGGUGUCGCGGCCAGUGCAGGCUUUCCAGACGGUGGCAGCGCCCAGCAGCCGUUGCCUCAGCUCUUUGGUGGCAGCCAGGCCAACAAGGGCAGCAACGAUGACUAGGAUGAUGAGUGAGCAAACAGCUCCACACUGGUGGACAGGCUGGGUGCGCACCCGGUGGUCCUCAAAGGCUCGCUGGGCCUGUACCACCGUUAUAAAUUUGAGAUCAUGAGAUUAUACCGUUUGCCUUCUUGCUUUUUGAAGUACGAGUAUUUUUAUGCACACUUUGUAGACUUCAAAAUCCAUGAAGAGUCUCAAAGAAGCCGGAUGGAUGGAGCCUGCUGCGGAUGCCUUUUACUCUCGUAGAUCAGGGUGAUUUACAUUCCACCUGUAGUCUGCUUGCAAACACACAGAGCAGCCUUGCAGCUUUGUGCCUUUAGACUCUUGGUUUUGCAUUUCUCCCUGCUCCCUUCUUCCUUCCAGUAAGCUGCAACUUUUCUGAUUGAAAGGGUGCAAGGCUAACACACGGAAUGACUAACUCAGGAUCACAUACUGGCAGUGGGAGAGGCAGGAGGAGCAGCUGCCAUCAAUUGCCAGGGCCAAGUGGAUGAUAGGAUGGAUGCUGGUGCAUGCGGAGGAGGCAGACGCAACGCUCAUCUCUAAUAAUGAUGUCUGUUCCCUCAGAGGCGGCUAGAGCAUCACCUCUUCACGCAAGUGUCUUGAAACUCAGCUUGAAGAUUUCAGCAAAUGUGUCUUACAGAGAAGAGAAGAGGGAGUCAGCCCAUCGGGAUUAAAAAUAUAGAGGCAGUGACAACACACACUCGGCUUCAGUUCUUAGGAGAGUUUUGGUUUUGAUUUUUUUUUUUUUUUUGGAGAAGAUUUUUUUUUUAAUGGAUCUACACUGUUAACUGAGACUCUGUUGAGAUUCACUGGUUUACUUAAAAACUUCUCAGGGAUGUCUGUAAAUUUCAGUGUUAUAUGUCAUGAAAACUGGUGUGGGCAGAUCUGUUGGUUGAAAUAAUUUCUACUGUUUCAAAUACUGAAGGCAGGAAUAAUUGGUUUAUACUGUGUUUUAAAUAGAAGUAUUACUGGUAAGUCCCCCAGGACAUUAAACCUUAAAAAUCAGUUUUAAGCUAUUAUUAUUGUAAGAGAAAUACAAAUGGCUGGAAAAUGCCACAGAGAUUCAAAAGCUGCUUAAUUGAAAGAGCAGGAAGGGAUUCUGGCUUGCAAUGCCAAAGUUUCAAUGUUUUUGUAGUUACUGAGCUAAAUCAUAUGGUAAUUGACAGUUUCUAAAUCUGUCACCUAAAGGUUAAAUUAUCUACUGUUGCCGUGAAGUCAAACUUACUGCUGCCUCAGAAAUCCCUGGGUACCGCGAUGGUCAUACAGAAGUAAGGAAGUCAAUUUGAAAUGUCAGUGAGUCAAAAUGAUUAAAGAGGCCAGGUGCAGUGGCUCACGCUUGUAAUCCCAGCACUUUGGGAGGCUGAGGCAGUGGAUUGCUUGAGUCCAGGAGUUUGAGAUCAACCUGUGCGACAUGGCAAAACCCUGUCUCUACAAAAAAUACAAAACAAAUUUAUCCAGACCUAGUGGUGCGCGCCUGUAUAGUUCCAGCUAGGGGGCUGAGGUCGGGGGAUGGCCUGAGCCUGGGAAGUCAGGGCUGCAGUGAGCCGAGAUGGCACCACUGCACUCUGGCCUGGGUGACACAGCCAGACCCUGCCUUAAAAAAAAAAAAAAAAAAAAAAAAGAUUUAAAAAACGGUCUGUUUAUUUAAAAAGAAAAGUGAAAUAAUGCCCAACAGUACAUUUACUCUCUUUUCAGGCUGGGUGCGCUGGCUCACGCCUGUAAUCCCAGCACUUUGGGAGGCCAAGGCAGGCAGAUCACCUGAGGUCAGGAGUUCGAGACCAGCCUGGUCAACAUGGCAAAACCCCGUCUCUACUAAAAAUAUAAAAAUUAGCCAGGCAUGGUGGUGCAAGCCUAUAAUCACAGCUACUUGGGAGGCUGAACCAAGAGAAUCACUUGAACCCAGGAGGUGGAGGUUGCAGUGAGUUGAGAUCACGCCACUGCACUCCACCUGGGCAACAGAGUAAGACUCUGUCUCAAAAAAAUAAUAAUAAUAAUUUCAUAUGGGUUAAAUUUUAAGGUCAGAUGAUCACAAUUUUGAUAUUUUGUCUAAUUUUAUACCUUAGGUGACUUAGAGCCUGAUUUAACGUGACUUUGUCUUGACUACGGAUACGUGGAACUGCAGCCAAAUAUAUUGUUCUGUUUUUAAAAAACAACAAAAAAAAAACCUGCUUCAGUUACUAGGACUGAAGAAAACUGGGCAAAGGGGGGCCCAGGAGGCUAGGUCCCUACAUCUGCCAUUCUUGGCAGCUGCAUUUCACGGUUAGAAAAACUCAGGAAAUAGCCGGGCGUGGUGGCUCACGCCUGUAAUCCCAGCACUUUGAGAGGCCGAGGCAGGUGGAUCACCUGAGGUCAGGAGUUCGAGACCAGCCUGGCCAACAUGGG
rnacentral:lncRNA from 1 species